AGUGCGAAUGCUGACAUAAGUAACGAUAAAGCGGGUGAAAAGCCCGCUCGCCGGAAGACCAAGGGUUCCUGUCCAACGUUAAUCGGGGCAGGGUGAGUCGACCCCUAAGGCGAGGCCGAAAGGCGUAGUCGAUGGGAAACGGGUUAAUAUUCCCGUACUUGGUGUUACUGCGAAGGGGGGACGGAGAAGGCUAUGUUGGCCGGGCGACGGUUGUCCCGGUUUAAGCGUGUAGGUGUGUGUUCCAGGUAAAUCCGGUUCACUUUAACACUGAGGCGUGAUGACGAGGCACUACGGUGCUGAAGCAACAAAUGCCCUGCUUCCAGGAAAAGCCUCUAAGCAUCAGGUAACAUCAAAUCGUACCCCAAACCGACACAGGUGGUCAGGUAGAGAAUACCAAGGCGCUUGAGAGAACUCGGGUGAAGGAACUAGGCAAAAUGGUGCCGUAACUUCGGGAGAAGGCACGCUGACAC
rnacentral:rRNA from 1 species